rnacentral:rRNA from 1 species
UACGUAGGGGGCAAGCGUUGUCCGGAAUCAUUGGGCGUAAAGAGCGCGUAGGCGGCCCUGUAAGUCCGCUGUGAAAGUCAAGGGCUCAACCCUUGGAUGCCGGUGGAUACUGCAGGGCUAGAGUCCGGAAGAGGCGAGUGGAAUUCCUGGUGUAGCGGUGAAAUGCGCAGAUAUCAGGAGGAACACCGAUGGCGAAGGCAGGUCUCUGGGCCAUAACUGACGCUGAGAAGCGAAAGCAUGGGGAGCGAACAGG